GACGAACGCUGGCGGCGUGCCUAAUACAUGCAAGUCGAGCGAAUCAAUAGGAGCUUGCUCCUGUUGAUUAGCGGCGGACGGGUGAGUAACACGUGGGCAACCUGCCUGUAAGACUGGGAUAACACCGGGAAACCGGUGCUAAUACCGGAUAAUCCUUUUCCUCUCAUGAGGGAAAGCUGAAAGUCGGUUUCGGCUGACACUUACAGAUGGGCCCGCGGCGCAUUAGCUAGUUGGUGAGGUAACGGCUCACCAAGGCGCCGAUGCGUAGCCGACCUGAGAGGGGCAUCGGCCACACUGGGAAUGAGACACGGCCCAGACUCCGACGGGAGGCAGCAGUAGGGAAUCUUCCACAAUGGACUAAAGUCUGAUGGAGCAACGCCGCGUGAGCGAUGAAGGCCUUCGGGUCGUAAAGCUCUGUUGUUAGGGAAGAACAAGUACCGGAGUAACUGCCGGUACCUUGACGGUACCUAACCAGAAAGCCACGGCUAACUACGUGCCAGCAGCCGCGGUAA
rnacentral:rRNA from 1 species